UACGAAGGGUGCAAGCGUUACUCGGAAUUACUGGGCGUAAAGCGUGCGUAGGUGGUUGUUUAAGUCUGUCGUGAAAGCCCUGGGCUCAACCUGGGAAUGGCGAUGGAAACUGGGCAACUAGAGUGUGGUAGAGGGUAGUGGAAUUUCCGGUGUAGCAGUGAAAUGCGUAGAGAUCGGAAGGAACAUCUGUGGCGAAGGCGACUACCUGGACCAACACUGACACUGAGGCACGAAAGCGUGGGGAGCAAACAGG
rnacentral:rRNA from 1 species